CCUAGACCUAAUUCCCCAUCUCCCGAUCUCCUCUCCACUCCCAGAUCCCAGCCGCCACCCCCACGACAAUGAGUAGCUGCCGUUGUUUGCCCGGCCGCCACCGCUAGCUCCCUGCCCCAGCUGCCCACCGCGUCGAUUCGCUGCUAACCCGCCCUGCACGCCGCGGCAGCGCCGUCCGCCCAUCCCAAGUGCUCGAGCUCCCAAUCGUCCAACGCCCUAGCUACCCCCUAUGGCAUUCUUGGAGCCCAUGUCCGCUGCCAACGGCACCGGAUCUGGUGACAGCGACGCCACAUCCACGGCCUCAUCUCCGCCGGCCAGUCUGCGUCUCCGACAUCCCGAGCAAGAGGUGCCUGGCCGGCGACCUGACUACGGGCUCCCACGACCGGCAACGACUCUGACGGUGGCACCUCCGUGGAGCAGCAAACUGACCCCCAAGCACGGACCACCUUCCUCUCCAGAUCGCAGCAGUGACUUGCCUUCUCUGCAGUAUGGACUGUAUCCAUAAAGAGCUCCAGGAGCUUGUUGCACUUGGUCACCGUAAGGUUAUAUUGGCUCCGUGGGUAGUUUCAUGUAUUGGGACGCUCUUCAACUUUACGCUCAUUUGCAUUCUUGUAGUCUCAUGGAUUUCUAUAAUAUUUGAAUACGCAGUGCUGAUGGACAGGAAGAACAAUGCCUGUCAUUCAGAUAAUUUGGUGUUCACUCGCUUGCGGAGAUUGGCAUAGGGAACAAGUCUUUUGGUUCAGCUCAAAACAUUAUGAUUUUGGACUAGAUAUCAACUACUCUUUGUUCUUACCGUGACUUGGCCAUAUGAUAUGGUUGCAAGCGAUUCUAGUUGUUGUUUCCGUCCCAUUAAUGUAAAUGUGACUUACAGUUACAUUGUUUUUAUCCAUUUUGUGAUUGAAAUGCAGUUAGUUAAUUUUGUGAACCUAGAA